rnacentral:lncRNA from 1 species
GGGGGGGGUUCCUUUUUCCUGUUUUGUUUUGUAUUUUCUUUUCUUUUUAUUUAUUUUCCCUUUACUGUUUUCAUUUAAAGUUUCUUUUAUUUUAGUUUUAUAAAAUACCCAGUGAACACCUAAAUUAGUAUUGCUAAUCAGUCCACUGCCACAAUUAUUUUGGCACACUACUAAUUUAGUUUUAUUAUUAUAACUUUAUAAAAAAGGCGUCUAAUUAAUUGUUUUUGCUGUCAUUUCUAUUACUUUAGUGCAUUUAAAUAUUUUAUUAAAAGAUAAUUUAUCCACCAACAUUUACUAAGGAUUAUUUGACACAUUAGGAACAAUUUAGUUUUGACUUUUGAAAACUUUAAUUGUUUAACUUAAAUUCAAUUUUUGAAUAUGAAUCGUUUCGAACUAACGCGAGAUUAUCAACAGUAAUCUGAGGUGACGUGGCAUCGUUAGCGUGGGGUUACUGUAGCCUAAUUAUCCGGGCGUCACAAUUCUCCUCCACUACAAGAAAUAUCGUCCUGAAAUUUAAGAGGUAGAGUAAGGGGGAAAGUUUGGUUACGAAAUUCUAACGAUUCUUCUCGGUCUUGGUUGCUCUUCUUGAAGAGAUCGAUCCAUUACAUUGAUGUCUUCAUUCUAGUGCUUCAGGCCAUCAUUAUGAAGUUGUCGUCCUUUCUUCGGGAACUCCAUCGUACUUACGAAAGAAUAGAGGGUGGGUAUUCCGAGAGAACGGACCUCUGCAAGGUUGACUAUCUGGUCGAUAACAUCGGGGAAGGUGGCGAAAAGUACUCUUGAAUUGAAACUUAAGAAAAUAUCGAGAGCAAAGCAAGGGGGUAUUCAUGGGAAGUUUCGAGCGGGCAGGCAAUCGUUCGAUUCCUGAAUCAGGGCGUGAAAGGGGUUCAAAGCAAUGGGAAUAAGUAUUGUGUCUGAUAUCAGAAUUGAUGAACUCUCAGACGGUGGAUCGUGAAUUACAUAUGAGGCCACACGCGAGGAAUAACUUCGGGAACAGGGGGUGUCCAGGAGAGUCAGUUUUCGAUCCUAUGGAACUGUGGGUUAUGGGCCCACCAUGUGGGUUAAAAGUAGGAAGAGGGGUGACGUCUUGCACGAUCAUGUAAGCAAGGCAUGUCAGAGAAUAACCAGUCAGUUAUGUUGGCAGCAUCGUUGGUACCAAGGGCGAGGGACGAAGAGAACCAUUUUCCUGCUCGUUGAAACGAGGCGGACCAAUAGGCAAAGUUCCCGUCCAUCGGUGGUUACCGAAAUGUCAUCAACAAUAGUAACACGGUCUUACUGACAGAGUUGUACAUCGAGGUGUUUACAUAAGCAGUAAUUUAUUACUGCUUAGAUCAUAUAGAUCACAAGAAAGGUUAAACAAAACAAUGGAAAGGAAAAUGUGUUUAAAUACACAUUUCAGGGGUAUAUCCUUCCCAAGGACAAGUAGAGCAUCAUAUCCAUGACAGGAUAUAAUGUAGAAAACCCUUUAGGUAAGGGAGAGAAAUUUCAUGACAUUACCCAUGCAACGGUGUUUGGAUAAUUGAUAAAGAUAAUUUGGCAUUGUGCUUCAAAUGCCCUUAUUGAAGAUCGGAGUACCACAGACAUGCUUCAAGAUAGUAUUGACAUGGUCAUCAGCUAAAGAUCAGACUUUGGAUACACAAAGGAUUCAUCGGAAACAACUUAUAGGAUAAGUCUUACAAUUUCCUCAUGGAAGAAUGGAUAACCUUGCUGAAAAGGAAUCUAUAACCAUAGGGCCUCCGGCCAGGUGUGCUAGGCACGACAUCACCUUACCGGGUCACAUAAAGACCAUUGGUAUAACUCUUGGAAAUAUGUUCCAACCAUCAUAUCUGACCGAGAUUCGGAUCUGAUUAGUGCCAGGAUACCUUAGACUCAGGAUGUCCGAGAAGAAAAGGUGCAACACAAAUCGAUGAAAUGACGUUGUAAGAUUCUCAGGAAUUGGACUAUGGAAGCGAUUUCCGAACAACAGUUCAUCAUUGAGCCAAGGAGAGAAUGACGGGGUGGUUGAUGGACUCAGCAAAAAUUCAUCGAGAUGUCCAAGAAGAUGGAUUUCCACAGUUAUGUGAACAAGGAGAUAACAUUUGUCAGAUCAAAUGAUAUACUGAUGUAUGCUCGAGGGAACAUCCACAAUUGAACAUUGCUCGAAAAUGCACCUGGAAAUAUGGAUUGAGCAACCCAAUCAAGGUUAGUAUGGUGAUACAAUAACCAAUAGUCGAAGGAUGAACUAUCGACCCUUAACUUCAAAGCAAUAUGGUUGCUAGAAAUAACAAAGUCACACAUCAGAGUUCACUUGUGUGUAUUCCGGUUAGAAACAACACGGGGAACAAGAAAGAAUGAUGGUGGUGAGAAGCAUCACUAUACCAAGAAUUCUUAAGAGGUGGUGAAAUUCUCACGACAUUCUUGACAUAAAAGAUGGUAAUACUCAAAGGUAAAGAAGAACAAAGGUUGGAUAGCAAGGAACUCAAGGUAUAACACAAAACACGAACAAGUUUGUGUUGAACAGAAGGCAAUAAAAUGGUCGAUGAUAAAACAAAUCAUCGAGGGGCAAGGAUGGUAUUUCUCAUCAAGACUUCAAUUGAUAUCCUGGAAGAGCUCGGAAUGCUGAUGAUGAUCAUGACAAAUUUUGUCGAGAGGCUCCAUGAAGGAGCAAUUGAACAGUGGCUACCUCAAGCAUCAUGACUAAUGCAGAGAAAGAUUAUUGGAACCACGGAUACGACACCAACUCGGAAUCAAGCUUGCUGUUCGAGGUGAAAUGAUAAGACAAGGAAGAUCGGCGUAAGCUUAGCUCAUCGCCGAAAUUUGUGAUCCGGGAAGAAGGACCCGGUAGCACAGUUAAAAUUUAGUAUGAUAAUGAUAUAGCCAAUCAGGCUAGGAAUGGCAUGAUCGGGUACAAACUCGUACUUAAAGAAGAUUAUCAAGAGUUGUUGAACCGUAGCGCAGACUCGGUUCAGUUAUCGGUGUCUUUGAGUGUUUAUUAACUCAGAGCCCAUGAAAAACUGUAAUCAAUGAGAAUGUAGUACUUGAUGAAGAACUCAUAAGAAGUUAUGCAGUUCCAAGAUAAUCUCGAGAUACCAGGGUGUAAUACUCGAUGAAAGAUCAAAGUAAAGGUUGGACUGGUGUAUUGAUCCACAGAAGACAAGUGCUUAAACUUGCCCGAGAAAUGGGAUCAAAGAAGAACAUAUGGUCGGAACCACUAUUGCAAAGGAUCAAUUCUCCGAUACCAAAGGAUAUUAUAUCAAGGAAAUAGCUAUUAUUACAAGAAGUUCCCAUGAUAGGAUCUACAUCGUGUCCAUGGUCAUGAACACAAAGGUUCAAGGUCGACUCCCACUUCCUCAAUGCAUAACCUUCCAUUCACCUCUCAUAUUUCGAAAAUGACAUUAGUUAUUGAACGUUUUACCUGGUACAAUACCAGAUAAGUAUGACCCGUGAAAUCUUUCGGGUUCGCACCGAUUAGGGAAGGUAAUGGUUCAACCCAUCGGGGCAUCUAGGAAUAUAUACCACAAACUUCGGAGUAAAUAAUACAAGCUCGAAAGUAGAGUAUGAUUAUCAAAGCAGAGGAUACAAAUUACCAAAGGCAUUAUAUACCCAUGGAAAUGCUCACAAGGUUUUUGAAUAUGAAGGAUAUUGUCGGAUAAAAUUCAACAAAGGAUCUGGUGGUCUUCAACGGAUCUGAUGUGAGCAUCGGUACUCAACCAGAGGAAGAAAGGAUGCAAGGAGAUCAGACUAUAGAAACAACUGACUAAUUCAAAGCUGAAAUGCAAAGGAAUUAUGAACUUCAAAUCAAGGGAUCAGAAGCAAAACACUCUGAUCAAGGAUGGAGAAGUUGAGCAGGCUUAGGGGUACAAUCGAUGGCAAUUUGAUUGGUUGAGAUCCAGCUCAUGUUUAAUAUGACGUCUGAGCCGGAAGGAUGAAUUCUAGGAUCUGAUUGAGGAUUGCGAGCAUUCACAACAUAUCGAAUCAAGGGACUCGAAAUGAUAAUGACAAAUGAUGCUAAUGAAUAUUGUUAGUCAUAUGGAACGCAACCAUAAUGCAAGCAGACAAGUAUUUGCAGAGUAAUAGCGGGCAGAGAUUUAUCAAAAGAUCAGAUAGUAUUUCAAGGUGUCUUGUGAAUCAUAUGAACAACGGGGGAAGAGCGGAUACUCUGUAAGUGCGAGGAAUUAUCCGUAGAGGGUAUUCAUGUGGCAAGAACUGCAAUGCAGUAGGUACAAAGUAUUCUCAGAUCAAAUAGAGAUAAUUUCGGGGUAUCUUGUAAUAACAAGAUCAAUUGAGAACAAAAAUAAGAACAACAGGUGUAUGUAUUUAUCCAUAGGGAUAUUUCGGUGGUAGGGAAUUGCAAAAGAAGUGGGCACAAAGUCUCGAUAGAACUUUAGAGAGUAUCUUCGGAAUCUUCUGGUGCAGCAAGCGACCAUCGGAAGUGAGGCCUCUCCGGGAGAAAGUAUUUUCGAGAACCUAAAGUUAGUUUUGUUUUCAGCAAAAUCAUUUAACCCGAAUAGAAGAGAGAUCAGAGUCCCAGAGUAUAGACGAGGAAUAAAAGAUCCUAAUACCACCCAAUGGCGACGUGGGCCCGUAAGGCGCACAACCAUGUUAGUAAAAGUUUUGUAAUGUCUAGACUCGACUUCGGCCAAGGAGUUUGGAAAGGGGAUUCCUAUAGGCAGUCGGCUCUGAUACCAACUUGUGACGCCUCCUAACUACUCCUCGAAGCCGAACUCCAUGUAGAAUCAUCCUCGGGAUCUCUAGCUCCUGGACUCCAGCAUCUGGUUGCGACAACCAAGUAUAGAAAGGGGAAAAGAGGGAGUAAAGCAACCGUGAGUACUCAUCCAAAGUACUCACAAGCAAGGAGCUACACUACAUAUGCAUGGGUAUAUGUGUAAAGGGCCAUAUCGGUGGACUGAACUGCAGAAUGCCAGAAUAAGAGGGGGAUAGCUAAUCCUAUCGAAGACUACGCUUCUGGCCUCCUCCAUCUUGCAGCAUGUAGAAGAGAGUAGAUGGUAACUUCACCAAGUAGCAUCGCAUAGCAUAAUCCUUCCCGGCUAUCCCCUCCUAGUCUCCCUGUUAGAGAGCGAUCACCGGGUUAUAUCUGGCACUUGGAAGGGUGUGUUUUAUUAAGUAUCCAGUUCUAGUUGUCAUAAGGUCAAGGUACAACUCCGGAUCGUCCUUCUACCGAGGGACACGGCUAUUCGAAUAGAUAAACUUCCCUGUAGGGGUGCACCACAUAACCCAACACGCUCGAUCCCAUUUGGUCGGACACACUUUUCUGGGUCAUGCCCGGCCGCGGAAGAUCAACACGUCGCAGCCCCACCUAGGCUCAACAGAGAGGUCAGCACGCUGGUCUAAAUCCUAUGCGCGCAGGGGUCUGGGCCCAUCGCCCAUUGCACACCUGCACGUUGCGUACACGGCCGGAAGCAGACCUAGCCUAGCAGGCGUUCCAGUCCAACCCGGCGCGUGCCGCUCCGUCGCUGACGUCAAGAAGAGCUUCGGCUGAUACCACGACAUCGAGUGCCCAUAACUGUUCCCACGUAGUUGGUUAGUGCGUAUAGACCAAAUGGCCAGACUCAGAUCAAAUACCAAGAUCUCGUUAAGCGUGUUAAGUAUCCGCGAACGCCGACCAGGGCCAGGCCCACCUCUCUCCUAGGUGGACUCAACCUGCCCUGUCGCUCCGCCACAAAGUAACAGUCGGGGGCCGUCAGGAACCCAGGACCACCUCUACCGGGAUGGAGCCACCUGUCCUUUCAGCCCCCUCAUCAGAAUCACUUGCGGGUACUCAACGAGCCGACCCGACUUUAGUCACCACAUGUGUCAUGUAUAUAAAGUAUAUAGUAUAUACCCGUGAUCACCUCCCGAAGUGAUCACGGCCCAGUAGUAUAGCAUGGCGGACGGACAAGAGUGUAGGGCCACUAAUGGAACACUAGCAUCCUAUACUAAGCAGUAGGAUAGCAGGUAAGGGUAACAACUGUAGCAACAAUGACAGGCUAUGCAUCAGGAUAGGAUUAACGGAAAGCAGUAACAUGCUACACUACUCUAAUGCAAGCAGUAUAGAGAAGAAUAGGCGAUAUCUGGUGAUCAAGGGGGUGGGGCUUGCCUGGUUGCUCCAGCAAGGAGGGGUCGUCAACUACGUAGUCGGUCGGGGCACCAGCAGCGGCGUCGGUCUCGUAGUCUACCGGAGAGAAGAGGGGGAAGAAACAAUGAAUACAAUGCAAACAGAUGCAUGACAUGACAAAGCGUGAUGUUAGGUGUGCCCAAACGCGGUAGUAGGUGAUACCGGCGAAGGGGGAAACAUCCGGGAAAGUAUUCCCGGUGUUUCGCGUUUUCGGACAAAUGAACCGGAGGGGGAAAGUUGCGAGUUCGAUAUGUUAGGGAUGUGUGGCGGACGAACGGGCUACGUAUACGGAUUCGUCUCGUCGUUCUAAGCAACUUUCAUGUAGAAAGUAUUUUCAUCCGAGUUAUGGAUUAUUUUAUAUGAUUUUUAUAAGUUUAAAUGAUUUUCUAAAUUUCCAGGAUUUAUUUUAAUUCGAAAAUAAAAGAGAAAUUGCUAAAUGUACCCAGCCCUAUGUACACAGCAGUUUACACAGGGGCUGACAUGUGGGCCAGGGGGACCCAGUUGACCAGUCAAUGUUUGACUGGUCAACAGGGGGUGGGGCCCCCGUGUCAUUGACAGAUUAGGCUAAACAGGGUUUAAUUAAGUAACUAGUGAUUAGGUUAUACUAAUUAUGAUUAAUUAAGUUAAUUAAUUCUUUAAUUAAUUAAUAUUUUUAUUAUUGUUAUUAUAUUUUUUAAUUCUUUUUUAUUAAAAACGUUCUGGGCAGUGGGCCCCGUUUGGCAGUGGCCCAAUGGCCUAUGCGGGUUUGGUCCAGCGGGUGCGGGCGCACCGGAGCGAGCACUCGCCCGCAGGGCGGGACGAGGCCGAUAGGGCACCGACGGCGGGGCACGCCGGCGCGGCCAGCAGGGGACACGGCGGGCAGAGGCGAGGGGUGGCGCCGGUGCGGCCAUUGGCGCGCGUGCGGCGCGGUGGCGCGGCCACGGGAGGAGCAGAGAGGGGAGACGAAGCGUGCCGAGGCACGGGGCCAUGGGGCGCCGGCCGGAGCGGAACGCGGGUAGGAGGCCGGAGUGGUGGUGGCGGUAGCGCCGCAGCACAGCAGCAGCUGUUGCAGCCCGCGACGGGGCAAGGCCAGGAGCGGCAAGGGGGCAUCGGCGUGGCCGACGCGGUGGUGCACGUGCGACAGAGGAGGAGAGGAGGAGUCGGGGCACGGGGUCUCACCCCCGAUGUAGGGGAGUGGCAGUGGGGCGCGGGGAGGAGGUCGUGGACGACGGCGACGACGGAGUGGAGAAGAGGACGACGGGGCGACGGCGAUUCGGAGAAGAUGGUGAGGGGCUCCGGCGGUGCGGUCCUCGUGCGGCGGGGUCGAGGUAGCUCCGGGCGGGGUCCCGUGACAGCGUGGACGUGGACGGGCGGCAGGGCGCCGGUGGGGCGACGGGAGGGGCCGGCUCCGCGAGGGGGGGUGACGGCGACGUCGAAGCGGCGAUGGGGCGAUGGGAUCGGGGGGUUGCCCCGAUCCAGAUCGGGGAAGGGCGAGAGAGAUCGAGAGGGAGUGGGGGGAGUGGGUGCGGGUCACGGGUUAGGGUUUGACCGGGGUGGGGAUUAUGGUGGAGUGAGGGGGCGGCCUGGGCCGGUUUCGGCCGGCCUGGCUAGCAGCUGGGCCGACUGGCCUAGUGGGGAGGGGGGUUCCUUUUUCCUGUUUUGUUUUGUAUUUUUUUUCUUUUUAUUUAUUUUCCCUUUACUGUUCUCAUUUAAAGUUUUUUUAUUUUAGUUUUAUAAAAUACCCAGUGAACACCUAAAUUAGUAUUGCUAAUCAGUCCACUGCCACAAUUAUUUUGGCAGACUACUAAUUUAGUUUUAUUAUUAUAACUUUAUAAAAAAGGCAUCUAAUUAAUGGUUUUUGCUGUCAUUUCUAUUACUUUAGUGCAUUUAAAUAUUUUAUUAAAAGAUAAUUUAUCCACCAACAUUUACUAAGGAUUAUUUGACACAUUAGGAACAAUUUAGUUUUGACUUUUGAAAACUUUAAUUGUUUAACUUAAAUUUAAUUUUUGAAUAUGAAUCGUUUCGAACUAACGCGAGAUUAUCAACAAUAAUCUGAGGUGACGUGGCAUCGUUAACGUGGGGUUACUGUAGCCUAAUUAUUCGGGCGUCACAUAGCUGAAAGGUGCUUGCUGAAGAAAAGGAAGACAUCCGAGAU